AACGAAACUUCUURAUCACCGAGUGCUUGCACUCACCGAUAAAGAGUUGAGUGGCGAACGGGUGAGUAACACGUGGGCAACCUGCCCAAAAGAGGGGGAUAACACUUGGAAACAGGUGCUAAUACCGCAUAACCAUAGUUACCGCAUGGUAACUAUGUAAAAGGUGGCUAUGCUACCGCUUUUGGAUGGGCCCGCGGCGCAUUAGCUAGUUGGUGGGGUAAAGGCUUACCAAGGCAAUGAUGCGUACCGAACUGAGAGGUUGAUCGGCCACAUUGGGACUGAGACACGGCCCAAACUCCAACGGGAGGCAGCAGUAGGGAAUCUUCCACAAUGGGCGAAAGCUGAUGGAGCAACGCCGCGUGGGUGAAGAAGGUCUUCGGAUCGUAAAACCCUGUUGUUAGAGAAGAAAGUGCGUGAGAGUAACUGUUCACGUUUCGACGGUAUCUAACCAGAAAGCCACGGCUAACUACGUGCCAGCAGCCGCGGUAAUACGUAGGUGGCAAGCGUUAUCCGGAUUUAUUGGGCGUAAAGGGAACGCAGGCGGUCUUUUAAGUCUGAUGUGAAAGCCUUCGGCUUAACCGGAGUAGUGCAUUGGAAACUGGGAGACUUGAGUGCAGAAGAGGAGAGUGGAACUCCAUGUGUAGCGGUGAAAUGCGUAGAUAUAUGGAAGAACACCAGUGGCGAAAGGGCUCUCUGGUCUGUAACUGACGCUGAGGUCGAAACGUGGGUAGCAACAGGAUAGAUACCUGGUAGCACGCGUAAGAUGA
rnacentral:rRNA from 2 species